rnacentral:rRNA from 1 species
AUCUACGGCCAAACCACCUGAACGCACAUGGCUUCAUCUGAUUUUUGGAAGCUAAGCAGGGUCAGGCCUGGUUAGUACUUGGAUGGGAGACCUCCUGGCAAUACUGGGUGCUGUAGGAU